CUGAGAGCUGUUUAUUUUUCCAGGCCUCAGGUCAUUACAUCACCCCGCGGUUUCUGGGCAGGCCAAGAGUGCUGGUUUGGGGGAUGGGGGAUCCGGCCAGGAGGUGUCCUUGCCUCAGUGACCCUGCAUCCCAGUCACCGCAGCUGUCCCGGCAGGAGCUUCCCUGGUGAGGAAGGAGCGGUCCAAAUGCAGCCCAGGGGCCCACAGCGGGCCGAGAGGAGCAGGGCUCUGACGCCAGCAGAUAGGAAGGAGCAGGGGUGCUGCGAACAUCUGACCGGCCAUGCGGACGGUGAGGUUGACUUUCUGAGAGCUCAUUACAUGUUCCAGAUAGAAGUCCUACACUGGAUAUGUGGUUGCUGGCACAGAAUUGGGUACGGCAGGACCCGAGAGUGGGGAUUCAUUGGCCUCUCCCCCAGGAGCUGCGUGGUGCUCUGAGCUGGAGACAGGGGCUCAGAUGUGGCCCAGAGACCUCUGUGUGCACACGCGGAAAUCUCUGCUUCCAGCGGCACUCCUGGGCCAUGCCUGGAACUGAACUCAAGAGACAGCGAGCCAAUGAACAAAUUCUCAGUGGCCUGACCAUCUGAGUCCUCACCUGGACCUGGGGGACCCCACAAAGGUACCAGGCAGUGGGAUCAAGAACAUGAAUGGCAAGUCAUCAGAGAGGGAGACAAACCACAAGACUCUUAAGUGCAGAAAACAA